GGGUAACGGGGUGUUAGGGCACGACACCGGAGAGGGAGCCUGAGAAACGGCUACCACAUCCAAGGAAGGCAGCAGGCGCGCAAAUUACCCAAUCCCGACAUGGGGAGGUAGUGACAAUAAAUAACAAUACAGGGUUCUUUUGGAUCUUGUAAUUGGAAUGAGUACAAUUUAAAUCUCUUAACGAGGAACAAUUGGAGGGCAAGUCUGGUGCCAGCAGCCGCGGUAAUUCCAGCUCCAAUAGCGUAUAUUAAAGUUGUUGCAGUUAAAAAGCUCGUAGUUGAAUUUCGGGAUCAAGGGAUCGGUCAUGCCUUGGUAUGUACUGGUCUUAUUGGUUCUCACCUUCUAAAGAACCAUGAUGUCAUUCAUUUGAUGUUAUGGGGAAUUAGGACUGUUACCUUGAAAAAAUUAGAGUGUUUAAAGCAAGCUUACGCUUGAAUACAUUAGCAUGGAAUAAUGAAAUAGGACAUCAGAUUCUAUUUUGUUGGUUUCUAGGAUCGAUGUAAUGAUUAAUAGGGAUAGUUGGGGGCAUUAGUAUUCAAUUGUCAGAGGUGAAAUUCUUGGAUUUAUUGAAGACUAACUACUGCGAAAGCAUUUGCCAAGGAUGUUUUCAUUAAUCAAGAACGAAAGUUAGGGGAUCGAAGACGAUCAGAUACC
rnacentral:rRNA from 1 species